CAGAGAGUGGGGCAGCACCCAGCAUUGCAAAAUUUAUUAGUUUUCAUAUGAAAACAGACUCUCUGUCCACAGCUGGGUUCAUAAUACUUUUAUCUUUCUUUUAACAGACAUACAGAUAUCUAAGGAGAUCAUCAGGAAACGUAAAUCAAAUGGACGUUUUACUAGCAAAGAAGUUAUUUUCACCGAUGAACAGACUGAAUAUUGCAGACUAAUGCCACCAGAGAAACAUAACAUCACUGAUGCCACAAGCCUAGUGCAAGAACACGGGAGACAAGCAGCAAGCAGAGGUAGCACACAGUCCCAAAGCACAGACUUUAGGGUGCCUUCUGGAGACAGACCAACAUCAAAAUCUUCGGCCAGAAGGGCUGAACCAACAGAUUUGUGUGAUCUCUCUGAAGAUUUCAGCAAGAAGGUCUACUGGCUAGCAGCAGUUUGUCUCCUUGUAACCGUGGGAGUUCUGUGCUGGACCAGGCUACGGCACCAGCUGGGGAAUUACUACUGGCUUUCCCUUGUCCUUAUGACAUCUAUUGCUACUGUUAUCCUGAGCUCAGUUGUCAGCCAAAUUAUUUCAAAAAAUGCUUUUUGCACUUGGACAGUGACAGUAACUGGAACUGUAAUAAUUGGAAUUAUUUCAAAUUUCUAUGAAACAGUGACUAUAAUGCAAGUUGGAGGAAUAACUGCAUUUGCCACCCUGUUACUGUUUUUAUUUGCUCUGAAGACAAAUAAACCCCUGACAAACAUGACCAUAUCAACCACUACAAGCAUCCUGGGCACUGCUGGGGCAAUCGUUUGUGUCCUUAGAAAUUCAUACGUGUUCCAGGCUCUAUAUGCUCUAUUUGGAAUGCUGCUCUUUGCUACUGAUCUGACGAGGACAGUAGCUGAGCUUGAAAGUCAACCAACAACCAACAAAAAAGUCACAAAGUCAAAGCUUGAAAGCCAACCAACAAAAAUGCAACGUCCCAUGGACUAUGCUGAGGCAGCACAAAGACUUGUCAUAUCUAUUGCUAUGAUCUUCUUCUUCACUUUGCUAUUAGUUGCUUGA
rnacentral:lncRNA from 1 species